GUUGCGUAUUUGCAAUUGAUCUAGUCUUGUGUAUUGUGUUACCGUAUCAUUAUGUGUCGUACCACGGUCCUGGAAAAAUUUGGUUUACAAGCUAUAUAGAGGAAUGACAAUAAAAACCCACUUGACUUUGGACCCAGGACCUUUCUUUCUCCUCAGUACAAGAAUUCUGGCAAACAAAAUCUGAUUGACGACAGAUGCUUGGGACCGGCACUGAGAGUUAACUCUUCAGUGGCUGGGGUGUCGCCCUGCCAUGGAAUUGGACCCAGGCCGCGGCAAUGAGAGUGCGGGAUCCUGCCGCUGGACCACCAGGAAGCCCGUUGAAGCUGCUCUUCAAAGCUAUGAUAACAUGAGAUCCCUCAGCUGAGAAGAUCCCAGCAUGUUACCUGCACUAAUGCAGUUGAAGUCUCGUGGUGUUAAGUCUUGGAUUCGACGGCCCUGGAACUCGAAGGGACUGGCGCAGUAUAUAGCCGGGACGGA